UCGGUAUGUACUGGCUUUACUGAUUCCUCCUUCUUGACGAACUGUGAUGUCAUUAAUUUGGUGUUGCGGGAAAUCAGAACUGUUACUUUGAAAAAAUUAGAGUGUUUAAAGCAGGCUAACGCUUGAAUACAUUAGCAUGGAAUAAUGAAAUAGGACGUUAAUCCUAUUUUGUUGGUUUCUAGGAUCGACGUAAUGAUUAAUAGGGAUAGUUGGGGGCAUUAGUAUUCAAUUGUCAGAGGUGAAAUUCUUGGAUUUAUUGAAGACUAACUACUGCGAAAGCAUUUGCCAAGGAUGUUUUCAUUAAUCAAGAACGAAAGUUAGGGGAUCGAAAACAAUCAGAUACCGUCGUAGUCUUAACCAUAAACUAUGCC
rnacentral:rRNA from 1 species